rnacentral:rRNA from 1 species
GAGCCCUACGGGGCGCAGCAGUGAGGAAUAUUGGUCAAUGGCCGCAGGGCUGAACCAGCCAAGUCGCGUGAGGGAUGACGGUCCUAUGGAUUGUAAACCUCUUUUGUCAGGGAGCAAAGGGCGCCACGUGUGGCGCUUUGCGAGUACCUGAAGAAAAAGCAUCGGCUAACUCCGUGCCAGCAGCCGCGGUAAUACGGAGGAUGCGAGCGUUAUCCGGAUUUAUUGGGUUUAAAGGGUGCGCAGGCGGGCUGUUAGGCCGGCGGAAAAAAUUCAGGGCCAAACC